rnacentral:rRNA from 1 species
AGUCGAACGGGAAGCUUGAAUUCGUUCAAGUGGAGAGUGGCGCACGGGUGAGUAACACGUAGCUAACCUGCCCUCGAGAGCGGGAUAACGCUUCGAAAGGAGUGCUAAGACCGCAUAAGCUCACAUUGAGUAAGUAGUUGUGAGAAAAGGCUGAGGUGCUUGAGGAUGGGGCUGCGGUCCAUCAGCUAGUUGGUGGGGUAAGAGCCUACCAAGGCGACGACGGAUAGGGGGCCUGAGAGGGUGGUCCCCCACACUGGGACUGAGACACGGCCCAGACUCCUACGGGAGGCAGCAGUGAGGAAUAUUGCACAAUGGGCGCAAGCCUGAUGCAGCGACGCCGCGUGGGUGAAGAAGGUUUUCGGAUCGUAAAGCCCUUUUCUGUGUGACGAGAAAGGACGGUAGCACAGGAAUAAGUCUCGGCUAACUACGUGCCAGCAGCCGCGGUAAAACGUAGGAGGCAAGCGUUAUCCGGAGUUACUGGGCGUAAAGAGCGUGUAGGCGGGGAUGCAAGUCCGUUGUGAAAGCUCCCGGCUAAACUGGGAGAGGUCAGUGGAGACUGCAUACCUAGAGAGCAUUAGAGGGAAGCGGAAUUCCGGGUGUAGUGGUGAAAUGCGUAGAUAUCCGGAGGAACACCAGAGGCGAAGGCGGCUUCCUGGGAUGCAACUGACGCUGAGACGCGAAAGCACGGGUAGCGAACGGGAUUAGAAACCCCGGUAGUCCGUGCCGUAAACGAUGCACACUAGAUGUUCGGUUGCCUGCGGGUGAUUGAGUGU